UUACGAAAAAGCGAGGCGGUGGCGGCGGCCGCGGGCCUGGGCCGGGGUGGGGGCUCACUUGACAAGCGAAGCGAAAACACGGCCAAGAGGCCGCCAUGGGGAUGAGGUACAAGUGGGACCAGAAGGAGGGCUGGCCUGACCAGGCAGCGGGGUGGUUGGCACCUGUGACUAGGAAGCGGGGUGGUUGGCACCUGCGGGCUGGACAGUUUCUAAGGCAGCAGGUCGCUGAGAAGGAGCCGUGUCGGCGGCAGCGGGGCCCGGUGUUUGGUGUGAACCCUCAGGUGGAGCAGAGCCAAACGUGCGCCCCCGGUUGCGCCCUCCCAAGCCCCUCGCGGCGCCUUUGCAAGGACCUCGCACAUCCUGGUAGUCUCCAAGCAUGUUAACAGCUGUCUGGUGAAGUCAAAAUCCCUGCCACAAGAAUAAAGUAAAAAAACCCCGAGAACAACAACAACAGAAGCAGGAAGGAGGAGUAGGAGCAACAAAUAUGCUUAUAACCAUAAAGAACAGAAGAAAGAUGUUAAUGGUACUACAGCUUGUGUUCCUUGAGUACCAUGAGUCCAAUUGUACUGGAUUCAGGAAGAAAAAACAUAUUUAGACAGUUUUCAACAUUAUCUAAACUGACUUUUCCAGACAAAAUAUUGUUUUGUUCAUAUGGUAUAACAUUAUGCAGUCUGCCAAAGCUAAUGUCAAAUACUCUAUGUCCCAAUGGAAAGUUGAUAUCUUUUUAAAUUUAUUUUUAAAUGGCUAUAGCUUCAUGAUUCCCUGCUUGCAAGAAAAAAAACCCCCAACAUAUAGCUGGCAAUUACAAAAAGGUGUCUGUGAAGCAGAGCAAACAUUUGAAUUAGAAAUAGUUCUGGGAAAAUGGAUUAGUGGGCAGAAGGCAUGAUUCUUAAAGAUGCAUAGUAAUGUGUAAUGCAUCACAUGCACAUCAGUGAUCACCACCAUCAUGUGUGCAUACAUCCAUAUGAAUAUGAAUUGACACCUCACAGUGGACAAAAUCCAAACCUUGACCACUAUAUUAACUGCUUCAGAGAAAGAAUAAACAAUGAAAUAAUCAACAACAAAAACCACCAUAACAACCUUUCCCUCUCAGGGAGAAGGGCCAUAGAAUCCCUAAAAACUAACCACCAAAUAGUAAUAAAACCAGCAGAUUGUCCUUAACCAUGAAGACUACAUAAAAGAAGCCAACAGACAACUCUGACACCACCUACUACAAAAAACUAGCGGAUGAUCCUACUCCCCUUUUCACCUUGGAACUCAAAACUGCCAUAAAAUCAUUUCCAUCAGAACUACAAGAAAAACUACAGAACUUGAUAUCCCCACUACCCAACCCAGGGACUUUUUACAUGCUCCCUAUAAUCCACAAAUGAGGGAACCCAGGCAGGCUUCUCAUAUCUAACCAUGGAACCCUCACUGAGGAAAUAUCAGGUCUCAUCCAAUCCAUCCUAAAACAUCUUGUCACCCGAAGAGCCAGUUUUGUCCAAGACACAACAGACUUUCUAUGAAAACUUAAAAGCAUUGACCACCUUCUUAGCAACACCCUCCUAGCCACCAUGGAUGUUACCAGCUUAUAUACCAGCAUCCACACCAAGAUAGCAUUCAGUCCUGCCUUACAUAUCUACAAGAACAAGAUUGCAACUCAGAGUACAGACCCAAAGAUAUUACCGAACUUAUACACUUCAUCCUCACACACAACAACUUCACUUUCGAUAAUCAACACUUCCUCCAGACCAUGGGCACAGCUAUUGGCAUCAAAAUGGCCCCACAGUAUGCCAACCUUUUCAUGAGCAACCUGGAAGAAAAGUUCCUCAAGGACUGCACCAUCAAACUCUUGCUAUACUUAAGAUAUAAUUGAUGACAUCUUUAUCAUUUGGAUUGAAAACCUGCCAUGUCUGAUUGAUUUCCAUCAGAAAUUCAAUAUGCAGCGCUCCUCCAUCAGACUAUCUCUGGAAUACUCCAACACCAACAUUCAAUUUUUAGACACAAUGGUCACUAUCCAGAAUGGUAAAAUACAAAACACUGUAUCCAAGAAACCCAUGGACCAACAUACAUAUCUGCACAGAAACAGCUAUCACCCUAAGCACACCAAGACAGCUGUAAUAUACAGACAAGCCCUCCAAUACCACCAAAUUUGCACUGAGAAGAACAUCUGGGAUUACCACCUCACCAAACUCAAAAAGGCUUUCACUCAACAAGGACACUCCUCCAGAGAGAUAGACUGCACAAUUGGAAGAGCCAACUGGAUACCAUGUGAAGAAUUGCUGCAGUACAGAAGAAAAAACCUGCAUGAAUCGCACACCACUGGCUAUGACAUAUCAUCCCUCCCUGGAAACUAUAUCAAAAAUCCUCAAACAAUUGCAACCUGUACUAGAAGGAGAUGGAGCUGGACCUGGAAUUCUCCAGACAGCUCUCAGAGGCAGUACAGUCUAGGGACGUAGUUGUCAUGGGUGACCUAAACUACCCAGACAUCUGCUGGGAGGAGCAGUCAGCUAGAUCCAGCCAUUCACAUAGGUUCUUAACCUGCAUACAGGACCUUCACCUAACAUAGGAGGUAUACAGUACCAGUAGGGGAAACGCCUUACUGGACUUGGUCCUGGCUACAGGGGAUGAUUUGGUGGGAGAUCUACUGACACAAGGUAACAUAGGGGAUAGUGACCGUCACUUGGCUGAAUUCACUAUCCGGCAUAGGGUGGGAAAGAUAAACAGUAGAGCAGAAGUGUUAGACUUCAGAAAGACUAACUUCAGUGUGCUCAGGAGACUAGUAGCAAGGCACUGAAGAACAGGAGAACUGGUGAGAUAAGAGUCCAGGAAGAAUGGUCAUUCCUAAAGAAAGCAAUCCUAUGGGUGCAAAAGGAGCCACGAAAGGGGGCAAAGGGACCAAGAAACCCUCUUGGCUGAACAGGGAGGUCCAGAAAAGCCUAGGGACAAAAAAAGAGGCAUAUAGGCUGUGGAAGCGGGGGAGCUACCAAGGUGGAGUAUACCUACUUGCCCCACACUUGCAGGGAGGCAGUUAGAAAGGCCAAAGCAGAAAUGGAACUUAGCCUGGCAACAAAAAUUAAAGACAACAAAAAUUCCUUCAGGUAUAUAGGGAGCAAAAAGAAGGUGCAGGGUAGCAUAGGCCUCUACAAGACAAACUAAAGCAAUUAGUGACAGACACGGGGGACAAAGGUGAGCGCUUCAAUGAGUUUUUUGCCUCUGUAUUCCUGAACUCGGAUCAGGACAAAUCUCCCAGUUGGAUCAUAGACAGGCAUAAAGGGGAAACCAGCCCACCAGCUGUUAGCACUGACCUAGUGAAAAGACACUUGGAGGUGCUGGAUGUGUUUAAGUCAGCAGGCCCGGGUGAUCUUCAUCCAAGGGUGCUGAAGGAAUUGGCCAAUGUCAUAGCAGGCCACUGGCAUAGCUAUUUGAACACUCUGGGUGCUCAGGUCAGGUCUCAGAGGACUGGAAAAUGGCCAAUGUGGUCCCUAUUUUCAAGAAGGGGAGGAAGGAAGAGCUGAGUAACUAUAGCCCAGUUAGUCUUACCUCUAUCCUCAGGAAAACCUUUGAAAAAAUUAUUAAGGAUCACAUUUGUGGGAGUCCAGUGGGGAAAGCAAUGCUAAAGGGCAACCAGCAUGGAUUCAUAGCAGGUAGAACCUGCCUAACUAACCUUGUUUCUUUUUAUGGCCAGGUCACAAAAUGCUUAGAUGCAGGAAUUGAGAUGGAUGUCAUCUACUUGGAUUUUAAGAAGUUCUUAAAUAUGUUAUCUCAUUAUAUUCUCAUAGAUAAACUGAGCAACUGUGAGGUAGAUGAUUACAAGGUCAGGUGGGUGGCAAAUUGGCUUAGGGGUUGCACCCAGAGAGUGGUGGUGGAUGGGUUGGUAUCAACCUGGAAAGAUGUGGGCAGUGGAGUCCCACAAGGCUCGGUCCUUGGACUGGUGCUGUUCAAUGUCUUUAUCUAUGACUUGGAUGAGGGUGUGGAAAGCAUUCUAUCCAAAUUCGUAGAUGAUACCAAAUUAUGGGCUGAAGUUAGCACACCAGAGAGUAGGGAAUGAAUCCAGGUGGAUCUGGAUAAGUUGGAAGAAUGGGCAGAACAGAAUAGGAUGCAGUUCAAUAAGAACAAAUGCAAGGUGCUGUGCCUAGGAAGAAGGAAUCACCAGCACACUUACAGGCUAGGGGAGGACCUCCUCAGCAGCAUAGCAGUGGAAAGGGAUCUUGGAGUCACUGUUGACUCCAAGAUGAACAUGAUUCCAAGAUUCGUCACUGUGACAAAGUGAUCAACAUGGCUAACUGUACUUUAUCAUGAAUUAGCAGGUUCAUGACAAACAGUUCGAAGGAGGCGAUACUUCUCCUUUUUGUGGCAUUGGUUAGGCCACAGUUAGAGUACUGCAUCCAGUUUUGGGCGCCACAUGUCAAGAGGGAUGUGGACAACUUCAAGAAGGUUCAGAGGAGGGCCACUCAUAUGGUUAGGGGCCUGCAGGCAAAGCCCUACAAGGAGAGAUUGAGGGCUCUGGAUCUCUUCAGCCUCCACAAGAGAAGGCUGAGAGGUGAUCUUGUGGCCGUCCACAAAAUCAUCGGGGGGGCAGCAGGGAAUAAGAGAUGCUGUUUACCAGGGCACCCCUUGUAGUUACUAGGAACAACAGCCACAAACUGAUGGAGAGCAGAUUUAGGUUGGAGGUCUGGAAGAACUUCUUUACGGUAAGGGUUGCCAAAAUCUGGAAUGGGCUUCCAAAUGAGGUAGUGCUCUCCCCUACCUUGGGGGUCUUUAAGAGGUGGCUAGACAUGCACCUGGGCUGGGGUCACCUGACCCCAGUGCUCUUUCCUGCCAACGGCAGGGGAUCGGAAUCGAUAAUCUGCUAAGGUCCCUUCCAACCCAAACAUCUAUGAAUCUAUGAGACCCAGUUCUCAAAGAGAUCUUCCCAGAACCACCCAUUCGAUCCUUUAAACAAGCACUGAACCUCACCAACCUCAUCACAAGAAGCAAACUUCAUAUGGCCCAAAGCACACUGAAUGGAUCCAGACCAUGCUGGGACAAGAAAUGCAAAACCUGCCAACACAUCACUACCCCCACAAAUACUACACCCCACAACAGAACCAUCACCAUCCCCAGAUCUUACACCUGCACCUCCAGAAAUGUAAUAUAUCUCAUCCAGUGCACUAAAUGUCCUGAUGGAAAAUGCGUAAGAGAAACCAAACUACAACUGCGCACCAGAAUGAACACACACUGGAAAUCUAACAAAGACAAGAAUACCCAAUUACCUGUGGGGGCACAUUUCUCACAAGCAAACCACUCUCCCUUCAAUCUCUCAGUUCUAAUCCUCAAAGGGAAUUUACAAAAUACCUUUCACAGACAAGCCUACGAACUUCACUUCAUCACCCUACUGGAUACAAAAAAUCAUGGACUAAAUAUAGACAUUGAAUUUAUGACACAUUAUAACCUGCUUAACAUCUGAUUCCCCAGGUAAACCCUCCACUUUUUACCAGCUGUUCUCAUUCCCUUCCCCCCACCCUCCUGUCUCUCAUCCUUUGACUACAGCCACUUUCAUUCCCCCUUUCCCACCCUCCCCCACCUGUCUGUUACCUACUGACCACCUCAAUUAACAUUUUAACUGACUGUCUUUCUUGCAUAACCUGCCUAACAUCUGACUCCCCAGGUACCUCUCCACUAUUUACCAGCUACAUUCAUUCCCAUUCCCCCCACCCCCACCCCACCCCAGCCUGUCUCUCUGUCACUGACUCCUCAAUUUACAUGUUCACUGACUGGCUUUCUUGCAUGCAUACCACCUCUAUCUUCAUGGGCUACUGGUGCUGCCUUUGUCAGGGGGGGCAUGUGCCCCCCAGCAACCAGUCACUGACCAGGGGAGGAAUCCCCGGCAGCCAAUGCCACUGACCAAUCUCACUGACCAGGGGGAGUCCCCCAAAGCCGAUCAUGAGGCGGCUAAUCAUUGCAGCCGCUUCUGGAAGUGGCUGCGGCCACUUCUGGGAGCGCCACAGCGUUCCUACUCCCUGGCUGGUGCUUGCAGGGGGGGCACUGGUGCUCCUGCCUACUCCCACUGCCCAUUACCUAAGCUGUGAGUGCAGCCAGUUUGGGGGUGCACUGGUGAUCUCAGGGAGUGCACGUGCACCCCCUACAUGUCACCACUGUCUGGCUUCUUUACUAUUCAUUCCAUCCAGGAAGAGCAGAGACCAACUGCAGAUGCUUCCCCAGCCUGAUGAAGGGUAUUUGUACCCAAAAGCUUGCAAAUAAUAAUUUUUCCAACUAUUUGAGUUGAUCUAAUGAAAGAUAUCAGAUUUACUCAAAGAACCUUGUCUGCCUUUGGCCUUAGACCAACACAGCUACAACCUUUUAUACGUAUUGGCCUCUGGCUGUUUAACCACUCUAGUUAGGAAGAGCAUCUGCAUAGGUUUCCUUAGCCUGACGAAGGGUGGUUGUAUCCAAAAACUUGCUAAAAACAAUUUUUCCAACUAUUUGAGUUGGCCUAAUAAAAGAUAUUGGAUUUACCAAAAGAUCCUUUUCUGCCUAUGUCCUAGAUCCUGUCACUUCAUGCCCAUGGGUCAAAUUAAUUGUGACUGUAACUAUUAUUUUUCAUGGAAUUAGAGCAGAAUUUAAGUUGUUCUUAUGUGUUCAAACGAAUUCUGGUUGGAGUGAUGCAAAACAAAAAAUAUUAUUUGCUGUACUUAAUGACUUAUCACCCAACCAAAUCAUAAACCACUUCCAAAACUAAUUUCAUUUGUCUGUGCCCUGCAAGGGCCUAGCUUUGAAAACAGUUGAGUGCCUUAACUCCCACUGAUUUGAAUAAGAACUGUAGCACUUAAAUGUUUUCACAGGAAGUGCUCAGUAUCUGAGAAGAUCUGCAAAUGUGCAAGGACUUGCCUAGUGCCCAAACUGGCAAAACUUGCAUUGACGUGUGUGAAUUCUGUGGUUCCAGGAAUUACUCAAAACCACGUUUGUUUCUAGAGGCAAAGGAGAGUAUCAUUAAUGUUAAAAAGGUUAUUACUUGCAAGCCAGAUGUAAGUACUUGUUGGAACAGGUCAAGAUUAUGUUUUGGCCAAGUCUUGAUUUUAUAUUUAAACAUGGACAUACCAGAAUAAAAUUCAAAGAUUCAACAUGAACCCUGAGCAUUUAUAAAUUGUUGCCUUUCCUGUGUUACCUUCCAAUGAAGCAGUUUGUGUUUUAAAGGUGGGCUUUCCUUUUUUCCACAGACUAGCUGAGUGUUUUCUUUUCAGGGAUAUCCUAGUUUGUAAUACUAAACUUGGAAUUGCCACAAAUAAAAUUCUGUGAUGUUGCCAAUUCACCACAAUAGGCCAAAUUCUGCCUUGAUUUGCCUCCUGCCUCAAUUUCACAGGGAGGAAUUUGAUGCUGCAACUGGAGAGAAAAAGUUAUGAAGGAGAGGCCACUUAUCUUUUUCAGAUAGCUGCAGUAAGUAUCAGACAUCCCUGAGCAUAGGACAGACUUCGCCACUAGGAAAUAUAGCAAGUAAGAGAUGGAUAUUUUACCCAACAGGCUGACAUGAAGUUAAUACAGAACGGGUCCCUAAACCUACAGGAGAGUGAAUCCACCAACAAAUCCCUUACUUGAGAUGUUCCACAAAAAACAUAUUUUAUCUUCAGUCUUAAACAUUUAUGUGCAGCCACCAGAUGAACUAAUAAAGUACACCGGUAUGACACACAGCUCUACCAACAUAUACAUCAUCAUCACUGAUGACAACCACACCUAUGUUGCUACAAUCAAGAUAGAGAAGUGCUUGGAAGAGAUCAGCUCAUGAAUUAAGUAUUUAAAGCUGAACCUGAGAGGGAUUAUGUUGGUAGGCAAAGGAAAAUAUUUUGAAGAAUUGGCAGCCACAGUGCAGUUUCCAUAGGUACAAUUUAACCCGUAUGUUGGUAGCACUCUUGGAUUUUUUGUUGAUUCUAAGCCCUCCUAUGGCUGCAUCUGUGAUUUCUGCUUUCAACCAUCUCGAAAUGACUAUGAGCUCUGCCUCUCAUCAUAGUUAUGCUCACUUUUGUUACAUCUUGUAUGAGCUACUACUGCAAGUAUACAGUUUACAUUUCCUCAGGAUAUUAACUUCAAUUCAAGGGUCUUGGCUUUUAACUUCAAGUUGGCCAACUUAUCUAAAAGAUUGCCUAAAACUUGAGGAUGAAGGCCAUGGAAGAAAAUACCACUCUGAGGCAAAAUGGAGCAUUCUCCCACAAAAGUGAAGUUAACCUGUACAAGAGACUGAGCUUUAUUGAGGGUUGAUCUGAGACUGGAACUAAUUCUUGUAGGAACUAAGGACCACCACUGCAGGAUAUAUAUUUAAAAAUAUGAAACCCUAUCAAAACAAAUUCUUCCUAAGAGAGAAGGAGAGAGACAGAGGGAAAAAUAAUCACACAUUACAGCUGUGAGUCACAUCUCUACUGCAAGACAUUCAGACACUAUAAUGAAGACUGGGUGAUAUAAGCAGAAACGAACAGAAUCCCAAGCCUCAGACUUCUCUCUGGAUUAACUAUCAGGGGGGAAAACAAACCUGUGUGGGACCACCAGAUGGCACUAUUUCUUUAUGAAAAAUUACCCUAGAGAUAAUUUGUUUGACAAUUUUGAAAUAUUAGAUUACCCGUAUGUCAGAGCACAUUGAUGGCAUUUGCUUGUUGGCUCAGUAGACUGAAACCUGAUUUAGACCUGUGCUUGCAACCUUUUUAGACUCAAGGUGCCCUUUAUUAGACUCCAGGCAUCCCUCAGAUAAUGCCAGCAGUAAGGGGGAAAAAGAGCAAUUCUUCUGUUGCAAAGAACUCAGAAAGACCAAAACAGGUCAAAAUGUUUGUGACACUAUGGAUUCCUAAUUAAAAAUCUCUCAGUUUA